ensembl:lncRNA
CCAGAUGCCGCCGCCGCGGGGGGGCGCGUAGAGCGCGCUGACGUCACGCGCCAGGGAGGCUCCGCCUACAGCCAUGGCGGCGGCAACGGAGAGCCGGGCGCUCCUCUCCGCCUGCGGCUGCUUUCCGCGUCCUGCCGCAGCAGUGAGUCACGCCGCUCCACCCCAAAGGUACUGCGGGGGGGGGGGGAGUCAGACGCGUCCGCUUCCCCUCGUCGCCGCCUCCCAGCAAGCCUUCCAGCGUGGCGGGGUCUGCGGUGACCCCGGCCAUUCCUGCAGCGCUUGCCAGAGCAGCCUUGGGACGGUUUGAGGCCUCCCCCUGCCCCCCUCGGGGGGAGGCUAUAGAAAUCUCAGACACGCCUCGGCUCCGGCAGCUUCUCCCGAACUUAUUCCCAGCCCCGUGCCGACCUCCGGCGCUGUAAAUGCAGCUGCACGCUGUUGUGGGCGCGCUGGGUGGCCGAGCUGGUCUCGUGCUGCCCUCGGACAGAGCCGAGCUGGCUCUGCGAACGCAGCGAUGCUGGUUGCUCCCUUCUCCGGUGCCACUGCCGCUUUUCUCCUGAUAACAGCCGGGUUUUUUCCUCUCCAGUUCGCAGCCUCCGUCUCUGCUGGCCGCCCAGAAGGACGUACAAAGCCGCUGGAAGCGGGCAGGUGCGUGAAACAGGCCUGUCCCGAGAGGCUUUUCUUCUCCGUCCCGCCGUUGGCCUGUUGAACACGGCCGCAGAGGGCGAGCGGCGGGGCUGAAAUCCCGCCGGAGGGCCGGGACAUGGUGGCGGGCGGCCUCCGUUCUUUGCCGCAAGCCUUCCAGCGUGGCGGGGCCUGCGGUGACCCCGGCCAUUCCUGCAGCGCUUGCCAGAGCAGCCCUGGGACGGUUUGAGGCCUCCCUCUGCCCCCCUCGGGGGGAGGCUAUAGAAAUCUCGGACACGCGCCGCGUGCCGGCCCCGCGCGUCAGGCCGGGUCGGCGCAGGGUGAGCAGGGCUGUGGGGCGAGACGGGGCGGGGGAAAGAGGAAGAGGAGCCAGGUGUGGGGAGAGGAAGCACGGGGCUGUGGGUAAACCUCGCGAGUGAGGUCUGCGCGCGGACAAGCGUCUCCUUCCUGCCCUGCAGAGCCAAGAGGAUGAGAGCGGAGUUUCCCUCUGGAUCUCGGCUGGGAUGGCAUCCCGCAGGCGGGAGGCGCCUCUCCUCCGCCUGGAAGAAGAGCGUGAGCGGAGGAGGAGGAGGAGGAGGUGAGCGAGGAUCAGCUCUUCCCACCGGAGCAGGCCCUGCCGCGGUCUCCGCACGUGGCUGCGGAGUUCUGCCACGGCCCUGAUGGGUUUCCCACUGGGCUUCGGAUCUCGGUCUCUGCGCCUCAAGAUGGAGGAAGGAGGAGCCGGAGUGUUGCUCCUCGCUUCGGAGGUAAGGCUGUUUUUUGAAGAAACGGGAAAUAAUUUGCCGUUUGAAAACAAAACCCUUCGCAACCGGGGACGUUUGUGACUGCAAAGGUUGCCACACUUCCCAUUGCGCACGGCGCGGUGGCUGUGACAACGGCCGCGCGGUGCUCGUCGGAGCCCGGGAACGUGGGUCUGGCCCUGGCUCGUGUUUUUGUGCCUCGGCUUUGCCGCGUGGGGAGGGGGGGGCCCUGCGCGCUCCUCACGGCUGGCCUGUUCUCUCCUAGCUCUUCGGCCUCGGUGAUGCCGGUGCAGCGUCGGAGGAGGCCUGACCCUGCCCUGGAGGAGCAGCACACGCUGCGGAAGGGCAGCAGGAAGCGACUCCCGGCCUUGGCGGCCUCCCGGCACCAGGGACAGGCGCUCCCAACACGGAGACGCCCUCCGACCGUCCCGCUGAGGGCUGGUGCCCCCGUUCCGCCAGGAAAAGCCCCCGUGAGCAAAGGGGAACCCUGGAGCUUCCCGUGACCGGUUUCCAGCCCAGCCCACCAGUGACAUUUUGGGAGCGAGGGGGCUCGGGGGGGUUCCCUGGAUCCUCCAAGUACGGUUGCUCUUCACGCAGUGUGACAGCUCCGCCGAGCACGGAGCACAGAGAGGGGUAACAGAUGUAUCGCCGUUUUGGGGUACAGUCAGACAUUUAAUGCUCUACAGCCGUGGCAGAUGAAUAAAUAUGGAUUCCUGGUGUCUCCUUGCGGUC